rnacentral:misc_RNA from 1 species
AUGGCCGCGCAACCUUUU